rnacentral:rRNA from 1 species
GAUGAACGCUGGCGGCGUGCCUAAUACAUGCAAGUCGAACGCACGGGGGAGAAGCUUGCCUUUCUGAUGUUUGCGGCGGACGGGUGAGUAACACGUGGAUAACCUACCUUUAAGACUGGGAUAAAUUCGGGAAACCGGAGCUAAUACCGGAUAAUAAGUUGAACCACCUGGUUUAAUAAAGAAAGACGGUCUUUCUGUCACUUAUAGAUGGAUCCGCGCUUCAUUAGCUAGUUGGGAAGGUAACGGCUUACCAAGGCAACGAUGCAUAGCCGACCUGAGAGGGUGAUCGGCCCCACUGGAACUGAGACACGGUCCAGACUCCUACGGGAGGCAGCAGUAGGGAAUCUUCCGCAAUGGGCGAAAGCCUGACGGAGAAACGCCGCGUGAGUGAUGAAGGUCUUCGGAUCGUAAAACCCUGUUAUUAGGGAAGAACAUAUGUGUAAGUAACUGUGCACAUCUUGACGGUACCUAAUCAGAAAGCCACGGCUAACUACGUG